rfam:Brachypodium distachyon strain Bd21 chromosome 1, whole genome shotgun sequence.
CGUAUACUCGCUCCGUCCAACAAAAGAUGUCUCAACUUUGUCAAAAUUUGGAUGUAUCUAGACAUGACUUAGUGUAUAAAUGCAUUCAAAUCUAGUCGAAUUUGAGACAUUUUUUGUUGGACGAAGGAAGUAGUAU